rnacentral:lncRNA from 1 species
CUGAAAUUCGAUAUAUAAACAAAAAGGCAAAAAUAUAGUAUUAAGUUAGUAUUUAACAAUAAGCACUCCACUCAAACUUUAACAAGCAAUAAUAUCAUAGUAAGUACAAGAGUACUAACCUCUCAUUUGAUAAAAAUUGGAUCAAUAUCCCUCAUUGUAACACAUGAUUCGGCUUCUGUAUAAUAUGCAAAUAUCAAAAUAUUUAUUAGCCCUUAUGAAUGAUAUUAACAAGCAACUAAGAAACAAUAUGCAUAAAAAUAUCAAAAUUGAUAAUAGAAAACAAAUGUCACCUUUUAUAGCUUUCUCCGAGUCAUCCAAUGCCUCUACCUCACCCAAAUAUUGACGAAGUACUAUAGGUUCAUUGCUGCUAUACAACCAAUUCUCCGUGAAUAUUAAGGCCUCAACCAUCUUUGCACUCAAUGAACUCCUAAAUGAUUCAAGAAUCCAACCACUCAUGGAAAAUGCCGACUCUGAAGCGACUGUGGAUAUUUGAAUUACUAAUACAUUUUUGGCAAUUUUGGAGACAAUUUUAUACUUGUGCUCAUUCAAUUUCCACCAUACUAAUAUGUCAAAUUUAGAAUUGGUCAAAUCUUCACAACGAUCAGACAAAUAAUCAACCAAAUCAUUCUUCUCAAAUUGCAUGUUUUGCACAAGUUUAGCUUUAAAAAUAGAAGGAAUCUUUUUAGAAAGACCGAAAGAAGAUUGUGAAGGACUUGGACUACUAUUUUUGGUAGUCUCCUUUGAUAAAGUCGAUGGUGGAGUGAUCGGCAUUGCCAUUUCUUCAUAGCAUGCAUACAACCUGUGGAGUGUCUCUUCAACUUUUUUUAACAACAUUUUUGCAAUUUCUACAUCAUAAAUUAGUUCAAACCCAACUUUAAGAAGUUCCAACUUGCACCUUGGGUCAAGAAAUGUUGCUAUAAACAACAAUUGAUUAAACUUUUCAACAUUGCUCCAAUACUUAUC